UCCCACUCCUGUGAAUCAUACCUUUUAAUUGGUUGGCUUCCGGCGGGACUUCCGCGCCCGCCGGGGACCCAAACCUUUCUGAAUUUUUUAAUAAGUAUCUUCUGAGUCGGUUAAAAAAAAUGAAUCAAAACUUUCAACAACGGAUCUCUUGGUUCUGGCAUCGAUGAAGAACGCAGCGAAAUGCGAUAAGUAAUGUGAAUUGCAGAAUUCAGUGAAUCAUCGAAUCUUUGAACGCACAUUGCGCCCGUCAGUAUUCUGGCGGGCAUGCCUGUUCGAGCGUCAUUACGCCCCUCAAGUCCCCUGUGGACUUGGUGUUGGGGAUCGGCGAGGCUGGUUUUCCAGCACAGCCGUCCCUUAAAUUAAUUGGCGGUCUCGCCGUGGCCCUCCUCUGCGCAGUAGUAAAGCACUCGCAACAGGAGCCCGGCGCGGUCCACUGCCGUAAAACCCCCCAACUUUUUAUAGUUGACCUCGAAUCAGGUAGGACUACCCGCUGAACUUAAGCAUAUCAAGCAGAGCAGAGAGGAAAUU
rnacentral:rRNA from 1 species